GGGGAAACCAGAGCACCCGGAGGAAAUCCAAGCCAACACAGGGAGAACAUGCAAACUCCACACAGAAAUGCACCUUCUUGCUGUGAGGCGACAGUGUAAAAAACAUGACACUGGACUUAUCUGUGUACUCACGCUGUGUGAGGCCUGGUUGUUGUUCAGUUGAUCCUGAGCGAGAAAACUGAGCUGAACUCCAUUCAGAUGAGCUGAGCCGCUCUGAUGACAGUCUAGCGCCACCUGCUCACGACACUGAGCAUGACAUGUGUAUUUACAACCUGGAACACAGACAAAAACAACAGUUAUUGCUUUAAUAUCAUCUUUCUGGAUUUAGUAAAAAGCAUACACAUUGCCUUUCUCAGCAUUUUAAAUAAGCUUUAAAUCAAACAACAAUUUAGAAGCUCAAAUCUAAACACAGACCCCCUAAUAACACACAAUUUCUGAUGCCAAAUAACAUAAAAAGGAUUGAAUGGAGAACCAAUACACACUUGCUUUCCACAGAAAUUCGGCUUUCAAAUCAGAGCCACCGUUCACAGAAAUAAUGACGCAUAACCCCACUCACUUGCUUACUCAUCCAGUGUGCAUUACAUUUCAUUAUAAAAUCCCUUUACAGUUUUUUUUUUCUCAUACAGUAACUGUUAUGACCUACCUGAGGACUGAUGCUUGACUUGCUGGGUUAUUUUGCCAUAA
rnacentral:lncRNA from 1 species